rnacentral:rRNA from 1 species
AUAGCUGGUUCUCCCCGAAAUAGCUUUAGGGCUAGCGUCGGAAAGAACCUUAGUGAAGGUAGAGCACUGAAUGUGUGAUGGCCCCAUCCCGGGGUACUGAAUACAAUCAAACUGCGAAUGUCAUUAAGGAUGUCCGGCAGUCAGACUGUGAGUGAUAAGGUCCAUGGUCAAGAGGGAAACAGCCCAGACCGCCAGUUAAGGUCCCAAAAUACAGGCUAAGUGGAAAAGGAUGUGGGGAUGCCCAGACAACUAGGAGGUUGGCUCAGAAGCAGCCAUCCUUUAAAGAGUGCGUAACAGCUCACUAGUCGAGUGACCCUGCGCCGAAAAUGUACCGGGGCUAAGCCUGAUACCGAAACUGCGGAUUGUAGGAAACUAUAGUGGUAGGGGAGCGUUGUAUACGAGCAGAAGCCGUACCGUGAGGAGCGGUGGAUUGUAUAGAAGUGAGAAUGCCGGUGUGAGUAGCGAGAUGUAGGUGAGAAUCCUACACACCGAAAGCCCAAGGAUUCCAGGGGAAGGUUCGUCCGCCCUGGGUAAGUCGGGACCUAACGCGAGGCCGAAAGGCGUAGUGGAUGGAAAGCAGGCGAAAGAUUCCUGCACCCGUAUAUGGAGCGAAGGAGUGACGGAGACGGAUAGUGUGACCCUCUUAAUGGAUUGAGGGCGAAGCGAAGCGGCUGGUUACCAGGCAAAUCCGGUAACCAUAAGGCUAGAGCGUGACAGGUAAGCGAAAUCUUAGGAAAGUAGCGAAGCACAUGAUGACGGCUUCCAGGAAAAGCUUCUGGCAAUGCAUAUGCGGCCCGUACCAAAACCGACACAGGUGGGCAGGGAGAGAAUCCCGAGGUGAGCGAGAGAACUGUUGCCAAGGAACUCGGCAAAAUGACUCCGUAAGUUAGCGAGAAGGAGUGCUUAAGCAAUUAAGCCGCAGUGAAGAGGCCCAAGCGACUGUUUAACUAAAACACAGCUCUCUGCGAAGUCGCAAGACGAAGUAUAGGGGGUGACACCUGCCCGGUGCUGGAAGGUUAAGAGGAUCUGUUAAGAGCGAUCUGAAGCAGUGAUCCGAAGCCCCAGUGAACGGCGGCCGUAACUAUAACGGUCCUAAGGUAGCGAAAUUCCUUGUCAGGUAAGUUCUGACCCGCACGAAAGGUGUAACGAUUUGGGCGCUGUCUCGGCAGCAGACUCGGUGAAAUCUUAGUACCUGUGAAAAUGCAGGUUACCCGCAACUAGACGGAAAGACCCCAUGGAGCUUUACUGCAGCCUGAUAUUGAAUUCUGGUCAUACAUGUACAGGAUAGGUGGGAGACAAAGAGACGUGCACGCCAGUGUACGAGGAGUCGACGUUGGGAUACCACUCUUGUGUGACCGGGGUUCUAACCUGGUAUCGAGAACAGGUACGGGGAGAGUGUCAGGUGGGCAGUUUGACUGGGGCGGUCGCCUCCCAAAGAGUAACGGAGGCGCCCAAAGGUACGCUCAGAUUGGAUGGAAACCAAUCGUCGAGUGCAAUUGCAGAAGCGUGCUUGACUGUGAGACAGACAAGUCGAACAGGGACGAAAGUCGGGAAUAGUGAUCCGGCGGUGCCGAAUGGAAGGGCCGUCGCUCAACGGAUAAAAGCUACCCUGGGGAUAACAG